rnacentral:rRNA from 1 species
AUUGAACGCUGGCGGCAGGCCUAACACAUGCAAGUCGAGCGAGCGGCGGACGGGUGAGUAAUGUAUGGGGAUCUGCCCGAUAGAGGGGGAUAACUACUGGAAACGGUGGCUAAUACCGCAUACUAUCGUAUGAACCCCUAUGGGAUUAGCUAGUCGGUGGGGUAAAGGCUCACCUAGGCGACGAUCUCUAGCUGGUCUGAGAGGAUGAUGAGACAAACUGGAAAUGAGAAACGGCCCAGACUCCGACGGGAGGCAGCAGUGGGGAAGAUUGCACAAUGGGCGAAAGCCUGAUGCAGCCAUGCCGCGUGUAUGAAGAAGGCCGUAGGGUUGUAAAGUACGUUCAGCGGGGAGGCGUUACCCGCAGAAGAAGCACCGGCUAACUCCGUGCCAGCAGCCGCGGUAAUAC